GCGCCGCUCUCGUCUGAUCCCUGCUGGGGACGGUUGCCCGGGCAGGAUCCUUUACGAUCCCUUCUCGGUUUCUCCGUCGUCACAGGGAAUAAAUCUCGCUCGAAACUCACUGGACCGCUCCUAGAAAGGCGAAAAGAUAUUCAGGAGCCCUUCCAUUUUCCUUCCAGUAGGCACCGAACCCAGCAUUUUCGGCAACCGCUGCUGGCAGUUUUGCCAGGUGUUUGUUACCUUGUAUUUUUAUACAGGCGUGGCGGUGCGCGCCUGUAAUCCCAGCUACUCGGGAGGCUGAGGUGGGAGAAUCGCUUGAACCCGGGAGGCGGAGGUUCAGUGAGCCGAGAUCGCGCCUUUGCACUCCAGCCUGGGCGACAGAGCGAAACUCCGUCUCAAAAAUAAAUAAAUAAAGCUCUUGCUUUCUCCAGUAAAUACAUAAACGGAAAACCUCAACAGCUUUAUUAUCUGUUAAAGUCUGCAUGUCUGUUUUUGUGAUUGUGUGCUUAGUAAAUUGUGUGCUGAACAU
rnacentral:lncRNA from 1 species